AGUGAACGCUGGCGGUAGGCCUAACACAUGCAAGUCGAACGGCAGCACAGUAAGAGCUUGCUCUUACGGGUGGCGAGUGGCGGACGGGUGAGGAAUACAUCGGAAUCUACUUUUUCGUGGGGGAUAACGUAGGGAAACUUACGCUAAUACCGCAUACGAUCUACGGGUGAAAGCAGGAGAUCUUCGGACCUUGCGUGAUAGAAUGAGCCGAUGUCGGAUUAGCUAGUUGGCGGGGUAAAGGCCCACCAAGGCGACGAUCCGUAGCUGGUCUGAGAGGAUGAUCAGCCACACUGGAACUGAGACACGGUCCAGACUCCUACGGGAGGCAGCAGUGGGGAAUAUUGGACAAUGGGCGCAAGCCUGAUCCAGCCAUACCGCGUGGGUGAAGAAGGCCUUCGGGUUGUAAAGCCCUUUUGUUGGGGAAGAAAAGCAGCAGAUUAAUACCCCGCUGUUCUGACGGUACCCAAAGAAUAAGCACCGGCUAACUUCGUG
rnacentral:rRNA from 1 species